CUCCCGAGGGUCGCCGCCUAGCAGGGCGCACCGAGGCUAGGUGGAAACAAAUGAGCUUGGAUCUUGAGGCGCGCCGGGCUCGGAGCCGCCAAACUUGCUAGCGGGCGGCGGGGGAGGUGGCUACGCGGCGCCGGGUGCUGAGCUCCGGGAUGUGCCCGCGAAGGCAGCCCCGCCCGCCCCGCCCCCAGCCCGCCCCCCACGGCGGGCGGCGGCGGCGCGGGGCUCGGGGCCCGGCCCCCGCUGCGGCUGCGUUCGCCUAGGAGCCGGGGCAGGAGCGCGGGCUUGGCUACUCUGGCUGGUUGCGCUCCGCACUGGAGGCCGGUUCAGUUCGCCUCCUUCGCCCGCGGAACUGCGAGGAUUUGGACUGCAGACGCGUCAGCCGCACCGAAGUCGGAGUCCCGGGACCUGCGGCCGAAAGGAGUGAGCGCGAGGCGCACGGCGCCCACACGGCUUCACGCGCUCCAGCCGGGCCAAGCCGCCGUUUCCGCGGUUGCGGUCUCCGUUUCCGCACCGCGGUGGGGGCUGCCGAAGUUGCCACAGUUCAUCCCCGCAGAGUGAAAAAGCCGCCGAACCCUCGCGGUCACAUUUUGGCCUCAUUUGCAAUUUCUCCGGGACCUCCAUCUUCUUUUCCGUCCCCCACCACCACACCAUUCUCUGAAGAGAAAAGCUGGGCUUUGUUUCUACUCGUGGGCAAGAAGAGAAUGCGUCCUCUCCCCUCUAUGCGACCAUUUCAGGACCUGACCUUCCCUAUGAAGAUCCCCCAGAUGAAAAAGAAGUGAACAAGCAGGUAAAUUCCAACUUAAGAAGUCUGCUGUGCAAUCCAGAAGCUGUGCUGAAUGAUUAAGAAGUAAACUGAUGUCAGCCGACUCCAACUCAAAUUCAACUAAGGCCCAGAGAAAAUCUGUCUGCCUUGACUCUGUAUUUUCAUUAAUGGAGUCUACAUGUUUUUUCUUACACCUGGAGUGUGUUGUAUUUAAAGCUAACAUUAAAAUGACACAUCUUGAAGAAAAUAGGAUUUCUCAAGUCUUUGUGGCUUUUGUGGACAAGGACACCAUACUUCAUGCUGUAUUGUAAGAGCCAUUUCCUGUCUCUCCUCUGCAUUCUUUAAGUACACCUUAGCAGGAACAGCCUUGAGUGCUUUGGACUGUUGUUUACAAGGCCCUUUUAUUGAUUUCAGACAGCCCAGAAUCCUUAAAAGUACGGUAACCCCCCAAGGGGAAAAGGUGGUAUGGGUAAGAUCUUUGGAGCUCUCUAUCUUUAAAGUCUUUGUGUAAUUAGCUGGUCCUGUGGGAUGGAACUUUUAGCUUGUUCCAUGAAAAAAUAAGGCAAGACAUAUGUUCUGUCAUAGCUUUGCAGCAUAACAUCUAUUAACAGUAACAAGAGUUAAUCUCAACAAGGUCAUAAAGCUUUCCUAGAUAACUAAGUACUGCAAUCACCUCUUAUAGGUAUAAUCCUUAAAUGAGGCAUUUUGAGUGUGUAGGCCUGUUAAGCUAAGGUUACCUUCAUAGAAUGGGCCCACCAAGUUUCUGUAGUGACAAUAAAGGUACACAUGGCUAUGUAUAUAUUUGAUGGUGGGAUGUUACAGUGAGACCUGUGCUCAGUGGAAGCCCCAUUGAAACAUCUUACCUGAUGCCAAAUCCCAAGUCCUCCCUCCCCUUCAGUAUGGCCUCUUCUUCCUGACCUCUAAGUAUUGGGGAGCCCCAGGACUCACUCCUCAGCCCUUCCCUUCCAACCACACUCCCUCCUCCCUCCCUGUUAAGCUCAUCCCACCUCAUGGAUUUAAAUAAUAUCUAUACAUGGAUGACUCUCAAAUAUGCAUCUCUAUCCCCAGCCUCUAUUUUGAACCCCAGGCUUACAUAUCUACCUGCCUAUUAGACAUCUUGAAUAUAAUAUGGUCACAUCAUAAAAAUUAAAAACAUUUGUACUUCAAAGGACACCAUCAAUGAAGUAAAAAGACAACUCAUGAAAUAAAAAAGUAGGUUUGUAAGACAUAUCUGAUUGGAACUUGUAUCUAUUGAAAAACUAUUACAACUAAAUAAUACAAGACAAUAAAAGGCCCAGUUUGAAAAUGGGCAAAUGAUCUGAAUAGAUAUUACCCCAAGGUAUAUAUACAAGUGGCCAAUAAACACAUGAGUAAACGUUCAACAUCAUUAGCCAUCUGGAAAAUGCAAAACUACAGUGAGAUACUGCUUCACACUCACUAGGAUGGCUAGAAUAAAAUAGAAAAUAAAUGUUGGUAAGGAUAUGGAGAAAUUGGAACUCUCAUAUACUGCUAGUUAGACUGUAAAAUGUUCUUUAAACAGUUAAACGUAGAGUUGCUGUAUGAUACAGCAAUUCUAUCCCUAGAUAUUCACACAAGGUAAAUGAAAACAUAUGUCUGUAUGCUAACUUGUACAUAAAUGUAUACAGCAUUAUUCGAAAUAGCCAAAAAGUAGAAACCAAAUGUCCGUUGACAAAUAAGUGGAUAAAUAAAAUGUGGUAUGCCUAUAUAAUGGAAUAUUAUUCAGCAAUAAAAAGAAAUGAAGCAUUCACAUACUACAACAUUGACAAACCUUGAAAAUACUAUGCUAAGUGAAAGAAGUCUGUCACAAAUGACCAUAUAUUAUACAAUUUCAUUUCUAUGAAAAGUUAGGAAUAGGCAAAUCUAUAGAGACAAAACAUCUGAUUAGUGGUUGUCUAUGGCUUGGGGUUAGGGAGGGAGGAUUGGGGGUAAUGGCUAAAAAUGCAGGGGCUAUUUUUGGGGUAACGUGAAAGCUCUAAAUUUGAUUGUGGUGAUGGAUGUAAAACUCUCACAGAUAUUCACAAUAUAGUAUAAACCAUUGAAUUGUAUACUUUAAAUGAGUGGAUUGUGUGGCAUGUGAAUUAUAUCUCAAAGCUUUUUAAAAAUAUUUUAAUGAUUAUGACAAAAAAAAUUGCUAUAUGGUCAAAUGAGGACUUUUGAAAUUUCCCUUCUCUUAAAUUUCUCACUGCUGACUUCUAAGGACAUGGCAUGAGCCUUCACUAAGUGCUCCAACUAAUUAAUUCAGGGUCAUCCUUGACUUGCCCUGUGCCCCACACACAAAGCAUCAAGCCCUGUCAGUAUACCUUAAAGAAAUAAUCCCAAAUCAAAUUUCCCUUCUCACCAGGUCUCCUUCUCCCACCUUCCUCCAACCCAUCAUUAUCUCGUCCAUAGGCUACAGCUGUAGUCUCAAUGCUGCUCUCUGCCUCUGUUCUUUCACUGUGUAAUUCAGUCACCCCUGCCUUCAGUAGUCAUAGUCUGUGUUGUGUAAUAUGUAUCAGAUCACACUUUCUUGCUUAAAAUUCUUCUUGGAAUUUUCCAUCAUAUUUUGGAAAAAUCCAAACAUCUUAUGUCAUCCCUGCUUCUCUUCCCGGGUCCUUCUCUCCUCUUUCUCCCCCUCACUCCAGGUGGGCAAGCUUGUUCCUUAAAUAUUCCAAGUUCAUACCAUCCUCAUGGUCUUUGCACUUGCUGUCCCCUCUUCCUGGAAGUUUCGCUUUUAACAUGACUCAAAUCUAGUCUCACAUGUCAGCCCUUUGAGGAGACCUUGCCUAAAGAAUCUGCUUCUCACUUUAUUCCCAAAUUUCUCUGCCUUCUUACCAUGCUUUAUUUUUUAGAGUACUCAUUAUUUUCUAAAAUAAUAUUAUUUAUAUAUUUUGGAUAUUUUUUAGAAUGUUUGUCUAAAAUAUGAUUUAUAUGUUAUCAUAUUGUCUAAAAGAAUGUGAUUUAUAUACUUAUUUGUUCUCUGUCUCCUCCAAUAUAAUGCAAGCUUCUUAAGAAUAGGAAUUUUGUCUUUCUUGUUCACUAAUGUAUUUUUCCACCUAGAACAGUGCCUAGCACAUUUUAGGAGCUCAUUAAAUGUUGUUGAAUGAAUGAAUCAAUGGAUGUUCUGCCAGGAAGCGGCAUGGAGAAUGAACAUUUCUCAUUGGCUUUCACCAUGGCAACAGUGAGAAGACCUUUUCUCUCUGUCCCCCAUAGUUGCUCCAUUGCUGACUCUAUGUGGGGCAGCAGAUCCCAUGGAGGAAGAGUAAGAAGGACUCCUUUUUAAAUGUGCAAACUAAAAGCAGUU
ensembl:lncRNA